AAGUGUUACAGAUCCUUUAGAAUUUCUCUGGCAGGUUUUCCAGUUUUUACCAAAAAACUCUU
rfam:Homo sapiens chromosome 6, GRCh38 reference primary assembly.